rnacentral:rRNA from 1 species
GAUGAACGCUGGCGGCGUGCCUAAUACAUGCAAGUCGAGCGAACAGACGAGGAGCUUGCUCCUCUGACGUUAGCGGCGGACGGGUGAGUAACACGUGGAUAACCUACCUAUAAGACUGGGAUAACUUCGGGAAACCGGAGCUAAUACCGGAUAAUAUAUUGAACCGCAUGGUUCAAUAGUGAAAGACGGUUUUGCUGUCACUUAUAGCUGGAUCCGCGCCGCAUUAGCUAGUUGGUAAGGUAACGGCUUACCAAGGCGACGAUGCGUAGCCGACCUGAGAGGGUGAUCGGCCACACUGGAACUGAGACACGGUCCAGACUCCUACGGGAGGCAGCAGUAGGGAAUCGUCCGCAAUGGGCGAAAGCCUGACGGAGCAACGCCGCGUGAGUGAUGAAGGUCUUCGGAUCGUAAAACUCUGUUAUUAGGGAAGAACAAAUGUGUAAGUAACUAUGCACGUCUUGACGGUACCUAAUCAGAAAGCCACGGCUAACUACGUG